rnacentral:rRNA from 1 species
CCUACGGGGGGCAGCAGUGAGGAAUAUUGGUCAAUGGUCGGGAGACUGAACCAGCCAAGCCGCGUGCGGGAUGAAGGUACAGAGUAUCGUAAACCUCUUUUGUCAGGGAACAAAGGCGGGUACGUGUCUCCGGAUGAGUGUACCUGACGAAUAAGCAUCGGCUAACUCCGUGCCAGCAGCCGCGGUAAUACGGAGGAUGCGAGCGUUAUCCGGAUUUAUUGGGUUUAAAGGGUGCGCAGGCGGUUUGUUAAGUUAGCGGUGAAAUGCCCGGGCUUAACCCGGGGACCGCCGUUAAAACUGGCAGUCUCGAGUUGGAGAGAAGUAUGCGGAAUGCGCGGUGUAGCGGUGAAAUGCAUAGAUAUCGCGCAGAACUCCGAUUGCGAAGGCAGCAUGCCGGCUCCACACUGACGCUGAGGCACGAAAGCGUGGGUAUCGAACAGGAUUAGAUACCCCAGUAGUC